rnacentral:rRNA from 1 species
CCUACGGGAGGCAGCAGUGGGGAAUAUUGCACAAUGGGGGAAACCCUGAUGCAGCAACGCCGCGUGAGUGAUGACGGCCUUCGGGUUGUAAAGCUCUGUCUUCAGGGACGAAAAUGACGUUACCUGUGGAUGAAGCCACGGCCAACUCCGUGCCAGCAACCGCGGUAUUACGUCGGUGGCGAGCGUUUUCCGGAAUUACUGGGCGUAAAGUGAGCGUAGGCGGACUUUUAAGUGAGAUGUGAAAUACUCGGGCUCAACUUGAGUGCUGCAUUUGAAACUGGAAGUCUAGAGUGCAGGAGAGGAGAGUGGAAUUCCUAGUGUAGCGGUGAAAUGCGUAGAGAUUAGGAAGAACACCAGUGGCGAAGGCGAUUCUCUGGACUGUAACUGACGCUGAGGCUCGAAAGCGUGGGGAGCAAACAGGAUUAGAUACCCGGGUAGUC